GAUGAACGCUGGCGGCGUGCCUAAUACAUGCAAGUCGAGCGAACAGACGAGGAGCUUGCUCCUCUGACGUUAGCGGCGGACGGGUGAGUAACACGUGGAUAACCUACCUAUAAGACUGGGAUAACUUCGGGAAACCGGAGCUAAUACCGGAUAAUAUAUUGAACCGCAUGGUUCAAUAGUGAAAGACGGUUUUGCUGUCACUUAUAGAUGGAUCCGCGCCGCAUUAGCUAGUUGGUAAGGUAACGCCUUACCAAGGCAACGAUGCGUAGCCGACCUGAGAGAGUGAUCGGCCACCCUGGAACUGAGACACGGUCCAGACUCCUACGGGAGGCAGCAGUAGGGAAUCUUCCGCAAUGGGCGAAAGCGUGACGGAGCAACGCCGCGUGAGUGAUGAAGGUCUUCGGAUCGUAAAACUCUGUUAUUAGGGAAGAACAAAUGUGUAAGUAACUAUGCACGUCUUGACGGUACCUAAUCAGAAAGCCACGGCUAACUACGUG
rnacentral:rRNA from 1 species